rnacentral:rRNA from 1 species
UACAGAGGGUGCAAGCGUUGUUCGGAAUUAUUGGGCGUAAAGGGCGCGUAGGCGGUGCGGUAAGUCCGCAGUGAAAUCUCUGGGCUCAACUCAGAGUCUGCUGUGGAAACUGCCGUGCUUGAGUGUGGGAGAGGUGAGUGGAAUUCCCGGUGUAGCGGUGAAAUGCGUAGAUAUCAUUUGGAACGCCAAUGGUGAAAACAGGUAGCUGGGGCUGUGCUGACGCUGAGACACGAAGCCAGGGGAGCAAACGGG